ACGGAAGGCAGCAGUGGGGAAUAUUGGGCAAUGGGCGAAAGCCUGACCCAGCAACGCCGCGUGAAGGAAGAAGGCCUUCGGGUUGUAAACUUCUUUUACCAGGGACGAAGAACGUGACGGUACCUGGAGAAAAAGCAACGGCUAACUACGUGCCAGCAGCCGCGGUAAUACGUAUGGAGCAAGCGUUAUCCGGAUUUACUGGGUGUAAAGGGAGCGUAGGCGGUGAUGCAAGUCAGAAGUGAAAACCCGGGGCUCAACCCCGUGGAUUGCUUUUGAGACUGUGUUGCUGGAGUACAGGAGGGGCAGGCGGAAUUCCUGGUGUAGCGGUGAAAUGCGUAGAUAUCAGGAGGAACACCGGUGGCGAAGGCGGCCUGCUGGACUGUAACUGACGCUGAGGCUCGAAGGCGUGGGGAGCAAACAGGAUUAGAUACCCUGGUA
rnacentral:rRNA from 1 species